rnacentral:lncRNA from 1 species
UAUACACCUUGUUUAAUUACCUGUACAUAAGAUUUGUUCACACUUGUAAACUCUAUGUCAUUUAAAUGUUCAUUACGUAGAACCGAAUGCAAAGUUUUCGGACAACUUUUCUAGCAGUAACCAGUUGACUUCGAAUCCAGGGGGAGGGGGGUGGUAAUAUUCCCAACACCAAUUGGAUACAAAAAAAAUCUGGUCCUACUGAUGAUAGAAAAAUAAUCUGAAUCAAGAGUUUCCCCAUACAUUAUAGUGUUAAAUGUUGAAAAAAAAUACCAGCAUCGAAAA